GGUCCCGGCGCGGGGCCAGGCCGCGCUGUGCGGCGCCGCCGCCGUUGCCCCGCGCAACCGCCGCGGGCUGCGCCAUGGGGGACGGGGACGGCGGCGGCACAGGCGGCCCCGAGCGGCUGGCGCCGGAGCUGGGGCGGGAGAGGCGGAAGAAGCAGAUGCUUGAAAUCUCAAUAUUUGAACUGAGAAACACAGUGACAGAACUGGAAAAAAGGCUUAGCAGUAUUGAAGAUGAAGGUAAUGAAUGGAAAACUAGAUACGAGACACAAAUAGAAUUGAAUAGACAGCUGGAAGGACAAAUUAUUAAACUUCAAGCCAAGAUGGAGCUUAUUCGUGGAAAUCCAACAGAUAAAUUGUCCUCUGUUCGUACCUUUGAUCAAAUGCCCGUGGGUUCCUUAAAGCAGGUUCUUAAGCAACUAGAAGAGGAGAAGAAAAGUCUCCAGAACCAGCUAAAAGACUAUGAACUUAGACUGGAACAAGAAGCAAAGGCUUACCACAAAGCCAAUGAUGAGCGGCGCAUGUACCUCUCAGAGAUCUUACAGACCUCAGCUACACUUAAACUUGUUGAAAGGCAAAAACCAGAUGCAAUGACAGGGAAGAGAGAAAACCAGAUACUGAGGAGCAGAGUGGAGAUGGGAGCAGGCUUUCCCAAUGGAUCUGUGUAUCUUGGAGGGCAGACUGAUGCAUCACUCCGCAGAAGGGGCUCACCCAGACUGCUCUCUUGUCUGAGGAAAUGGCCAAGAACCAACAAAAGCUAAGCUGUUAGGAUUGGUUUAAGCUGUGAAUCCAUUCAGGAUGCCUGUCACAUAGGUGACAUCCGCUGCAGUCACUGUCCUCCACAUGGCAUGCUCUGUGUAGGUGACAGCAUCCGAGAUCACAUUCUCUUAAAAAGACUGUCGGGACUUCAUAUUCCUCAUGAAGCAGAACUGAGGUAUAUUUUGUGUUCUCUGGCUGGCAAGACAGGUAACAGCUAGCUGGUUUAGCUGUGCCCUUGAUGUUAUCUUACAGGAACUUUCUGUGGUGCUUAUAACUGCCUUUAGCUAGCUCUCAGAUGUCCUUACUAUAACCAGAGAUGUUGGCACGUCGCUGGGUAGCAAUGAGAAGAGGUAUGUCUGAUGGUAGUAACACAGCAGCAGGAGUUGCACUCUUCAUCUACAGUAUAGAGCUGAGGACUGGAGAGGAGAGAAGGGAGAGGUGUACCUUUAGCACAGGCCCAUUAUGAACAUCUCCACUUCUCCUUCUAGAGAGGCAGAUUAUUUGUAGGGCCUAUGCUGAACUAUUUUGCCCGUUACAACCCAACACAAAACAGGUCCGAAAACACAGUACUGACUCAUUGCAGGUGCUCCGAUGCACCUAGCUGGAGAUGCUAAUCAGCUGCUUGUGCUUGGGGUACCUGGGCAGUUUUUAAUGGUGCUCAGAGUAUGAGUUGUGCUUCCAGGUAGAGGCAAUGCAGUUUCUUCAUCUUCUGCAACCAGGAGUGCUCUGGUGCUGUGGCCUGGCCUGUGUUUGAGCAUCUCCACCAUCCUAUCUGGAUUAGAUAGCAAAGGGCUCCAGGGUGCUGUCUACUCUGAUCUAAGCAGCAUAGCUUCAGUUCCAGUCUGGUAAAGCUCUCAGACUCUAGUCUCCAUGUCACUUCCUCACCCCUCCCUUUGUUGCCUGGACCACCACAAACUCUGCUUCAGGAACCCAUCUGUAAAGUGGAGAAAAACAGUACGUUCCUGGAGCUGGGAAGAGAUAUGAGAUAAAUACAUCAAUGCCAGAAGGAAGCCAGCUGGUAAAGAUACAGUAAGCCUAGAUAAGCCCAACCAAAAUCAAAUGGAUUUUCUUUUUCCUUGUAACACAAAAAGGAUAACUAACAUUCUGCUCUGUUGGUGCUGAAACUUAACAGCUGUUGCUGCUGCAUCUUACUGAAAAAAAACUACCAGUCAAUGGUCAUGUCAGGGUAUUGCCCAACAAACACAGCCCAGCACUAUGACACCAGUUGCUGUGCAAAUCCUGACAAAGAAAAAAAUGCCAGCCAUGAGAAGAGAAGGGUCCCUUGUAAGGUGUGGCUGGAAACACUUUUGCUCACCCUACCACGCUGUGCAAUAGGCGCUUCUUCCUGCAGCUGUCUGAUCCCUCCUCACAACUAGCAAGUGUCUUGCGGGGAAUCUGCUAAGGAAUGAUGUGGUUUAACCAAGCAACACAAGCUAGGGAGCAGAGAAAUCAGACACAGCUGAAGGGUUAUUUUGGGAGAAGGAUGAAGCAAUACGAAUGUGCCCCUUUGACUCUCUCUGUGCUGAUUAGGAAUGGGAUACAGAUAUGCCUUGAAAAGGCACAGAAGUGGAAAGGAAGGAAAUUUAAGCAUGGGAAUCGUCAGUCCUAGCUUAGAUGUACAACUUAGAAGUCAUACAUCUUAAUCUGAACUAAUCACUGUAAACUCCAAGUGUAGUCAAUGGAAAAAAAUAGGUACUUUCAGGGGUGUUUCCACUCUAAGAAACAUUUAGAAUGAGUCAGAUGAUUCAUCUACUGGGUUUCUCUCCACUGACUAGAAAGAGUCUCAAGGAUGGCAAAUUCAGAAUAAGCUAUCUAAUACAUAGUUAGGUAGGCUGAAUUCUAUGCUAGACAAAGUCUUUCUUUUACUUGGUCUGGUUACGGAGGGUAGUACCCCCAGUCAGUAGAGAGCCAGAGCCAAGAAGAAAUAUUGAUCUGCACUUGACUCUCCCUUGGGUAGAUCUAUGCCUCAUGCCACAGCCCAGCACACAACAGAGGACCUGUUCUUUAAGCACCAUGUUUACAAGGCCCACUGAUAGAUUCCCAUGUUGCAGCAGCACUUACAAGGACAAAUAACCUUAUUUUUUUGUUCCCUUUAAACAGAUUUGGUAAGUUUUGUGUGCUUUUGAAAGCAAAACAAGUGGUAAUAUUAUUCUAAAACAAAAGACCUCUCUAUGGAACUCCAAUGUAAAGGUCGGAAAAUACAGCCCAUAGAUCAAUUUGCUACACACCUUAGGGGAAAUCUGAUGUAAUCAUAUGAUAGGAAUUGGUAACCUAAAGAUCAAUAUUUUUUGUGUGUUCUUGUCUCUUAAAAAGCUGAGUUAGGAAUUUACUAAUGACAAGUCAAAUUAUUGGCUGGGCAAAUACAUUCUUGGAGGAUUAAAAUAGUUCACAAGUACUGCCAGGUCUGCAAUUGCUGACAGUAUAAUUUCAUUAGUAUAAUACAGUUUUAGGGCAAGGAAAGUUUAUCCAAAUGCACUGUAAAUGUUGGGAUGACAUCAUCUGCCUUGCCUUAGACUAUCAUCAGAAGUCAUUUACUACUUUCUCUGGCCAAGCCCUUGGUCUCUCUUUGAUACCUGAACAAAGACGACAAAUGCUGCUCCUGUUCUGUCUUCAACAUCCUGGCUCAAAGGAGUGCUUGUGCAAGAACCUUGUGUCUUAUUAGUAGCUGAUGAGGAAAGAAGAGAGCAUGAAAGAACUGAAAGAGCACACUUCUGUGCUAUUUUCCACUUGGGACAUCUGAACAUCUGACAUCCACUUGGGAUGUCUAAAAAAAGCCAUUGCAUCAUGCUUUGUUCACUUCUGUCUUGGCUAAUAUUUCUUAAUUUUCACAAAUACCUCUUCAGUGGCUAAUGUUCCUGAGUGUCCCUCACAGACAUGCAAGACUGGGUGAGUAAUGGGAAUUCCUAACAAUCCAAAUCAACAAAAUGCUUGCCAGAGAGAGAACUGGUAUAACAAGUACCUCUCUCCAACCCAAUCAAAAUUAGAAGACCAAACAUUUCCUAUUACAAAAGAUCAUUCGAAUUUCAUGGCUAGGCUUUGAUACUGGAACUCACUUAAUUGCUAAGAAUGGAAACAAAAGGAAGACAAAUUUUCCAAAAAGGUAUUGGACACCACUUUUCUUUCAGCAGUCUUGGUUAUAGAGACUUUUCCAACAAAACCAAGCCUACAAAUGUAGUUAAUUAGGCAUAAUCAUUUGAAUAUCUGGUUUUUAUACUUCAGUAUUCUUUUUACCAGAUUUGUGAAACUGGAACCAUUUGUACUCAGUUUUAAGCAAUCUUUGGUCAUAGCUAACAAAAGUUGACAACAGAAGCUAUCUCAUUCUUUAUCGCAGUGUCACUGAUUAAGGUGGUAUUUGAGAACUUGAGGUCCUUAGGCUGGAAAAAAUGCUGGUGUUGGAUGGAGGCAAAUCACUGGGAGAAUGCACAGGUAGAGCACCGGCAGGCUAAGCAGAAGAAACAAACUCUAAGAAGGGGCUGGAUCAUCCAGUGCAUGGUGAGUUCACCAGCGCAACCAUUUUCUGAUGGUUGCAUCCAGUUUGGCUUUGCUUUUAGACAGCCAAACAGUGGGACUUCCUUUACUUCCCUUUGCCUUCUUAGGCAAAGGAUCAGUCUCCCAAGCAUUACAGGAAGGCAAUGCUGACAGUCCCCAUCUCUCUUUCAGCCUACAUGGGUUUCAACUUCCAGUGUGCAAUGCUUUUGCUGCAAGGUUCAGAGGAAGCAUCUGAUUACAAAUUGCUGGGCUCUGCAAAAUCUGCUUUUGGGUCAUUUAAACUGUGUAUUAUUGCAGCAAGGGACACUUUCAAAGGCUUAGAACUAAACAUGCCAGCUGUCAGCAUUGGAGCAGUGUGUCCAGGCCUUGGGGGCUCCCUGAGCCCUCCCUGUCCCUGCCCACCUCCAGGGCCUCCCUGACCCUGCCCAGCCCCAGGCCUCCAUCUCAGCCCAGCCCAGGGCUGUCAGUUCCUGCCCCAUAACACUGCAGCAGUGCUGGCUCCAUCACGACCCUGUCCCUCCCUGGCCACAAGCUCCCUGACCCCGACCCACAGGCAACUACCCAUCCCGGCCUCAGCCCAUCCCCAUCCCUGUGGCAGUGCCCAGUUCCCAGGACUGGGGCUGCCCUGGCUGCCCGGGUGCCCUUCUCUCUUGCAGGUGGUGGGACAGGCCCCGAGAAGCAAGCAUCCCUGUAAUGCCUGGCAGUGUCACAUCCAGAGCCACCUUCGGAGAGGCCGGGGACACUCCACAGCUCCUGGAAACCCGGAGACCAGAAAUCGUUCGGUAGCAGAGGUCACUGGCCGCUGCCAGUCCUGUCAGCAAACUAAAGGCCAGAAUACAAUAAGAGCUCUGGGAGCCAACUACUAGAGAGACCAGAGGUCUGGGACCUGGAUAGUGGAGAGCCCAGGGUCUGAGAACUGGCUGCUGGAGUGACCACAGAUGCAGGUUUGUGUCUGUGAGAGUCUGGGUGUGAGACCUGUGAGCAAGCUUUGCGCCUAGUUAGCUGGCAGGCACAGCACUGUCAGUUUGCAGAGGAGUGAAAUUCAUGCCGAUAAGAAGAUUACAGACUGUUUAGACUACCAUCAUUUUUGAUCCAUGGAGAACUUAUAUCUGUGCUGUAUACAUGUAAUUCUGGACAUUUGAAUUCCACUCUGACUUUCAUGGCAGGCACCAUGGCUUUACCGGUCGGAAACUAAUGUAGGAGUCUAAUGUAUGCAGCCGGCUUAUAAAUCUAUUGUGUUCCAGGGAAUUUGGAUCCAACAUUAUUCCGGAUUAAUGUGAAAUACAGACACUUUGCUGGUGUCAGAUCUGGCCACAAGCUUGGAAGCUGAAUGAAAUCAUACACAAUUUACAUCCUUAUUACCCUAUUUGUUCUUGAACUGUUCUUGGCUUCGGGACUGCAAAGUCCCCUGAAGUGUUUGAAUAACCAAAUAAAGAAACCUUUGUCUCUUUUUUGGCUACAGUGAAGGUUUAACU